rnacentral:rRNA from 1 species
GACGAACCGAGCGAACGUUGUUCGGAAUCACUGGGCUUAAAGGGCGCGUAGGCGGGCUGCCAAGUCCGGGGUGAAAUCCUCCAGCCCAACUGGAGAACAGCCUCGGAUACUGGCGGCCUCGAGGGGGGUAGGGGCGGGCGGAACUGUGAGUGGAGCGGUGAAAUGCGUUGAUAUUCACAGGAACGCCGGUGGCGAAGGCGGCCCGCUGGACCCCAUCUGACGCUGAGGCGCGAAAGCCAGGGGAGCAAACGGG